GUGUAUCGUAAAUAUGAUGGGUGUAACAUAGUAAAUGUUUUGGCUUAGGGUUGUCUUUGAGGUCAUAGAGAGGGACUGAUGAAAGAAGGGGGAAUGUUACUAUAAAAUUGUGGAAACUACUAAGCAAAAACUCUGAUAUUUCCCAAUAGUGAAACAGUAUUUGGCUAUAAUAUUUGCCAAUUUUUAAUAUUAUCUAUAGUAUAAGGAUGUUGGGCUCGGGGGAGGUUUUUUUUUUUUUGCUCGGGGGAGGUUUGUUUUGGUGAAUUUUUUUUGCACGUGUUUGUGUGUUGUUUCUUCAUAUUCUUUCUAUAAAAUUUACGACGAUGUUUGAAAUUUUGUUAAAAUUGCAAAUUAAAUCUUUGAGGAAUAUACUUUAGUAAUAUUUGAAAGAAAGAGAGGAGCUAGUGUUUUAAAGACAAGUACGGAGAGGUGCUAGUGUGGCAAUGGCUAACAUGGCCAUUGAUAAGGAUAAUGUCAAAAUUAUAUAUACUUAUUAGGUUUUUAAGGUCAACGAUGGCGCUUUUAUUCCAUUAUCGAUUGCCACUUCUGAACUUAGGUUGUUUUGUAAAGAGAUACGAAUAGCUUAUAUAUGUGCUAAGCUAAUGUGGUGGUUAGAGUUUUUAUGUUGUGGUCCAAUAAUUGAGUUCUUCCACUGUAGUGUUGGAAGUUGGUGGACUGAGAUUAUAUGAUGGGCUAUUGAUUAAGGAUGUUGUAAUGAAUUUGUUAAUUAUAUGUUUAAUAAGUGUUUCUAGUCAGUUAUGAUUUGAACUUAUUAUAAUAAUAAUGAACUGGGAUGGUAGGAGCUGGUGUUGAAGUUGAAACCCUAAUUUUUUAUUUUUAAAUCGUAGUUGCAGGACAUGAGUUUUUAGAAAUGAACUCUUUAGAUGCUUUCUGAUAAUUGGUUUCCAUGCUUCCCUUUCUACUAGUUGAGGAAUGUUUUAAGUGAGCUUCUUAUGGGAGAUGUGAAUGUUGUUAUGUUAUUGUUUUGGAAUUAUUUAUUCUUUUGAGGAAAAUUUGGUGGGGCAUUCAAGAUUUUUUUUUGUUAUAUGAGGUGAUCUAACCGCAAUGAUGGGUCAAAUUUCAAGUGGAUUUGUGAAUUUGUUGAAGUUUUUGUUGACUUUGUAAUAAUUUA
rnacentral:lncRNA from 1 species